ensembl:snRNA U4 U4 spliceosomal RNA
AGCUUUGGGCAGUGGCAGUAUCGUAGCCAACGAGGUUUAUCCGAGGUGCGAUUAUUGCUAAUUGAAAAUAUUCACAUCAAGCCAUGUUGAAUUUGGGAUGCUGAAUGACUAUUAUUACU